UAUCGAGUUUAAAGGCGCCCGUACCGUAAACCGACACAGGUGGGUGAGGAGAGUAUCCUAAGGCCAGCGAGAGAACUACUGUUAAGGAACUCGGCAAAAUGACCCCGUAACUUAGGGAGAAGGGGUGCCUGUCUAUGACAGGCCGCAGAGAAUAGGCCCAAGCGACUGUUUACCAAAAACACAGGUUUCUGCUAAGUCGCAAGACGAUGUAUAGGAGCUGACGCCUGCCCGGUGCUGGAAGGUUAAGGGGAUCUGUUAGAGCAAUCGAAGCAGUGAACUUAAGCCCCAGUAAACGGCGGCCGUAACUAUAACGGUCCUAAGGUAGCGAAAUUCCUUGUCGGGUAAGUUCCGACCCGCACGAAAGGCGUAACGAUUUGGGCACUGUCUCAACAAUAGACUCGGUGAAAUUGUAAUCCCGGUGAAGAUGCCGGGUACCUGCGACAGGACGGAAAGACCCCAUGGAGCUUUACUGUAGCUUGACGUUGGGUCUUGGUACUACAUGUACAGGAUAGGUGGGAGACUAUGAAGCAUGGACGCCAGUCUGUGUGGAGUCAUCCUUGGGAUACCACCCUUGUAGUACUGGGAUCCUAACCAUAGGCCUUGAAUCAGGUCUUGGAACACCGUCAGGUGGGCAGUUUGACUGGGGCGGUCGCCUCCUAAAAAGUAACGGAGGCGCUCAAAGGUUUCCUCAGCACGGUCGGAAAUCGUGCGAAGAGUGUAAAGGCAAAAGGAAGCUUGAUUGCAAGACAUACAGGUCGAGCAAGGACGAAAGUCGGACUUAGUGAUCCGGUGGUACCGCAUGGAAGGGCCAUCGCUCAACGGAUAAAAGCUACCCUGGGGAUAACAGGCUUAUCUCCCCCAAGAGUCCACAUCGACGGGGAGGUUUGGCACCUCGAUGUCGGCUCAUCACAUCCUGGGGCUGUAGUAGGUCCCAAGGGUUGGGCUGUUCGCCCAUUAAAGUGGUACGCGAGCUGGGUUCAGAACGUCGUGAGACAGUUCGGUCCCUAUCCGUCGCAGGCGUAGGAAAUUUGAGAAGACCUGUCCUUAGUACGAGAGGACCGGGAUGGACGUACCUCUGGUGUACCAAUUGUUCUGCCAAGGGCAUGGCUGGGUAGCUAUGUACGGAAUGGAUAAGCGCUGAAAGCAUCUAAGCGCGAAGCCAACUUCAAGAUAAGAUUUCCCACCGUAAGGGUAAGACCCCAGGAAGACUACCUGGUUGAUAGGUCGAAGGUGUAAGUGCAGUAAUGUAUUUAGCUUAUCGAUACUAAUAGGUCGAGGACUUGAUC
rnacentral:rRNA from 1 species